GGCAAGAUGGCCGAGCGGUCUAAGGCGCUGUGUUCAGGUUGCAAAAUCUUCGCAGUGGAGCAAUCCGUGCGAGUUCGAAUCUCGUUCUUGUCA
rnacentral:tRNA from 1 species